AGAUUGAACGCUGGCGGCAGGCCUAACACAUGCAAGUCGAGCGGUAGAGAGGUGCUUGCAUCUCUUGAGAGCGACGGACGGUGAGUAAUGCCUAGGAAUCUGCCGUAGUGGUGGGGGAUAACGUUCGGAAACGGACGCUAAUACCGCAUACGUCCUACGGGAGAAAGCGGGGGACCUUCGGGCCUCGGCGCCAUUAGAUGAGCCUAGGUCGGAUUAGCUAGUUGGUGAGGUAAUGGGUUCACCGAAGGCGAACGAUCCGUAACUGGUCUGAGAGGAUGAUCAGUCACACUGGAACUGAGACACGGUCCAGACUCCUACGGGAGCAGCAGUGGGAAUAGUGGACAAGUGGGACAAAGCCUGAUCCAGCCAUGCC
rnacentral:rRNA from 1 species